GGGUUAGUAGGUUGGUCAUGCCUCUGGUAUGUACUGAUCUCACUGAUUCCUCCCUCUUGACGAACUGUGAUGUCAUUAAUUUGGUGUUGCAGGAAAUCAGGACUGUUACUUUGAAAAAAUUAGAGUGUUUAAAGCAGGCUAAGGCUUGAAUACAUUAGCAUGGAAUAAUGAAAUAGGACGUUUGAUCCUAUUUUGUUGGUUUCUAGGAUUGACGUAAUGAUUAAUAGGGAUAGUUGGGGGCAUUAGUAUUCAAUUGUCAGAGGUGAAAUUCUUGGAUUUAUUGAAGACUAACUACUGCGAAAGCAUUUGCCAAGGAUGUUUUCAUUAAUCAAGAACGAAAGUUAGGGGAUCGAAGACGAUCAGAUACCGUCGUAGUCUUAACCAUAAACUAUGCCGACUAGGGAUCGGAUGAUGUUAAUUUUUUAAUGACUCAUUCGGCGCCUUACGGGAAACCAAAGUGUUUGGGUUCCGGGGGGAGUAUGGUCGCAAGGCUGAAACUUAAAGGAAUUGACGGAAGGGCACCACCAGGGGUGGAGCCUGCGGCUUAAUUUGACUCAACACGGGGAAACUCACCAGGUCCAGACAUAGUAAGGAUUGACAGAUUGAGAGC
rnacentral:rRNA from 1 species